CCUACGGGAGGCAGCAGUGAGGAAUAUUGGACAAUGGGCGCAAGCCUGAUCCAGCCAUGCCGCGUGCAGGAUGACGGUCCUAUGGAUUGUAAACUGCUUUUAUACGAGAAGAAACACUCCGACGUGUCGGAGCUUGACGGUAUCGUAAGAAUAAGGAUCGGCUAACUCCGUGCCAGCAGCCGCGGUAAUACGGAGGAUCCAAGCGUUAUCCGGAAUCAUUGGGUUUAAAGGGUCCGUAGGCGGUUUAAUAAGUCAGUGGUGAAAGCCCAUCGCUCAACGGUGGAACGGCCAUUGAUACUGUUAAACUUGAAUUAUUAGGAAGUAACUAGAAUAUGUAGUGUAGCGGUGAAAUGCUUAGAGAUUACAUGGAAUACCAAUUGCGAAGGCAGGUUACUACUAAUUGAUUGACGCUGAUGGACGAAAGCGUGGGUAGCGAACAGGAUUAGAUACCCUGGUAGUCCACGCCGUAAACGAUGGAUACUAGCUGUUGGGAGCAAUCUCAGUGGCUAAGCGAAAGUGAUAAGUAUCCCACCUGGGGAGUACGUUCGCAAGAUGAAACUCAAAUGAAUUGACCGGNUGAGAGNGCGAGACGACGACGAGGGAGGAGG
rnacentral:rRNA from 1 species